CUGAACAGAUCACCACAGUGAUUUCUGGAUCUUUUCAGUGAAUCAAAUCCAUUCAUCAGUCCAGAGGUUACUGAAUUAAUCUCACUUGCUUAACUGGAAGUACAUUUUCCCAUGUCCAGACUUUGUCUCAUAUCGGAGCCUGUACGUGUCGGCGCCUCUUCCAUCAGUGCCUGGUGUUGCGCUCAGUCCAUAAUGGAGGAGACAACUGUCAGCAGACAUCAAUUGGCAACCACUGUACGUCACAGAGCCACAGAUGAAUUGGUUGAAGUCUGGCUUUAUUCUCUUUAACAAAAG